rnacentral:misc_RNA from 1 species
GGCACUGUAAGGCGAGGCAUCCGUGUGUGCAUCGAGCGUACGUACAAAUGCAGUCACGUACACGUGGAGACACGUACACGUGACUGAGAGCCAGCCAAUGAGUCACCUCUCGUUGGUAACACGCGCGCGCGAGUUCGCUGUCGCGAAGCUUCCUUUUUUUCUUUUUCUUUUUUUUUUUGAAGGAUCAAUGGCGAAUUUUCCAUUGAUAAGAACGAUAUCGCGACAAUAAACAAUAAGUUGAUUGAUCGUACGAUCGUGUCGAUUCCACGAGAUAUUAACCCCGUCACGUGAAACGUCGGAUGUCGACCUGGAAUUGGUGUGAAGCAAAACAGGAAGAAUGUUUCAUUCUUUCAUCCGGUUUACGACCAAAUAAGGAAAGAUCAGUUGAUUCUCUGGAUGGUCGAGUUCCACCCGGCCAUGAGAACGCGUCAGGUCACCGGGAACAAUGUCCGCGGGUGAUCCGUGCAAGAAUAACAUCGACAACGGAAAAACACGACGAGGGACAGCAGCCGGGAGCGCGUUGACUCGCUUGACUCAGACGUCGGCCACCGGCGGACCUUGAAGAGGGAACAGGAACUUGACAGGCUCCGCGCCAAGGCGAGCCAGAAUCCCGCGCGUCUCUUUGUCCCAACUUUCUGUAGCAUUAACGCAGCGUCCGCGAGUUUAUCUCCAUUAUUUUUGUUAAGUGCCGCAGACACGAACUGAUCGAAAGAACCUGAUUAACAGCGUGUUCGGAAAAAGAUACAACUCGUAUUGGAGGUCCUUCUUUUGCUGGCCAAUGGAAGGCAGCAGGAAGUGGAAGUUUCAAAGGUAGCCUUAUGCGCGAAGAUUUAUGCCCUUCCGUGUAUUCUACGGUAUAUUUGUGAUGGUUCGGCAAGAUGGUUUUCUAAGGAGAAUUUGGUACGUCUUUGGAGAUGUUAAUUUGGUUAAGUUCGGAGAAAGGCCAGAUUUCACAAUCACGAGAACGUGCGUCGGUGAGGAGCCAAGUUAGAUCUGCAUCGGGCAACGAGUUAUCUUUUCAAUUACAUGUUCAAACUAAUUUGAUCUAAUCAAUAAACGAAGGCGAUUAUAUUCAAUCAA